rnacentral:rRNA from 1 species
UACGUAGGUGGCAAGCGUUAUCCGGAAUUAUUGGGCGUAAAGAGCGCGCAGGUGGUUAAUUAAGUCUGAUGUGAAAGCCCACGGCUUAACCGUGGAGGGUCAUUGGAAACUGGUUGACUUGAGUGUAGAAGAGGGAAGUGGAAUUCCAUGUGUAGCGGUGAAAUGCGUAGAGAUAUGGAGGAACACCAGUGGCGAAGGCGGCUUCCUGGUCUGCAACUGACACUGAGGCGCGAAAGCGUGGGGAGUAAACAGG